rnacentral:rRNA from 1 species
UCCUCGAAUAGAAAAUAUAUGGGGAGUCGGACCUGCCCGGUGACUAGAGUGUUAAACGGCCGCGGUACCCUAACUGUGCAAAGGUAGCAUAAUCAUUUGCCUUUUAAUUGGAGGCUGGUAUGAAUGGUUUGACGAGAGCCAAGCUGUCUCUUUUGAAAUAUUUAGAAAUUAACUUUUAGGUGAAGAGUCCUAAAUUAAGCUGAGGGACAAGAAGACCCUGUUGAGCUUUAGUGAAAUUAGCAAAAUUGUUGGGGAGUAAAAAUAGUAAACUAAGAAGUUGAUUAUUUUGGUUCAGUUGUGUAUUCAGUUAUAGUUUUGUUUUGCUGUAAAUCUUUAGUUGGGGCGACUGAGGAAUAAUAAAAGCUUCCUUUAUUUAAAUAGAAAAUAUUGUAGUCUAAGAAUAGUAGAUGUUGGCGGAUUAAAUUUGAUCCAGUAUGUAUUGAUUAAAGGAAAAAGUUACCACAGGGAUAACAGCGUAAUCUUUCUGGAGAGAUCAUAUCGAAAGGAGGGUUUGCGACCUCGAUGUUGGACUAAGAUACCCGAAGGGUGUAGAAGCUCUUGAUGGUUGGUCUGUUCGACCAUUAAAAUCUUACGUGAU